AACCCAUCCCAGUGCUGUGCCUGGGGAGAUAAGAGAGUUGUCUGCCUUAACUUUUCAUUUCCUGGAUUUUGUCAAUGUGUGUCACAACUCAUAUUAUUUAAAUGCAGGUUUUCAACAUUUAAUAAUAAUAAUUUACUGGAUUAAUCCUCGGGAAACAGGAGAGAAGAAACCAGUAAUGCCAUUUCACUGACUGCAGUCAGACAUUUCCCUUCUUUGAGAAUCAUCUCCAGCUGGGUUUCAAGCAACCGAAAGUCUGUUGGAAGGGAACUUCCAGCUGUUCCAUUGCCAAGAUGUACAUUUCUCGCUCACACCCUUUUUCCUGCCAAAGAAUGGCCACAUAACCAGGCAGUGAUUGGAAACUUCUCCCAGGCUGUCCCUCCAAUGUGACUCAACAUGACCCACAGGGACUGAACCCCAGGGCUGGGUGUGGCCCUCCCUGUGUGUGUGCUAGAGGAGGCUGGCGAAACAGGCAGGCUCAGUGGCAUCCCAGGACAUCAGCUGGCACCUUAAAGGCCAUUUUAUGAUGAAAAAACUGCUUCAGGAAUUUCAACUUUCUUUACAGGACCCAAUUCAGCAAGAUGCUUAACCUUACUGAAUCAGAGCCUAAUAGAGGGCCUUUCAGCAGAGUUGCAAGGAAGAGUAAGACUAAUGCCUUCAAGAGAAAUAUACUGAUACUGCCAGUACCCACUCCACAAAUAAUUCAAAACCUUGGGAAAGCACUUUUGUUUGAAGCAUAUUGUGCUCAGAUACCAAAAGACAUGACAUAAAUACCUAGAUAGCAUGGUUGAUGUAUAGUAUAAUGAUCUGUCUACAACUUCUGCAGCCAAUGUAUGAUAUGUGCCUUAAAUACCUUAUUUUCCCUCGUAGGCAGCACAACACAAGUUUAUUUUCUAAAGGGAAACAAACAGCUGCCUUCAAAUAUAGAAAUAUUUAAAGUGAUUCUCAAAAUGUAUAGUUUGUGAAGUACCAUUUCAUCAGGACUUUUGUAAUCCAAAUCAAUGUCCCUCAGAUUUAGGAAACAAAUCACGGGCAUAUAUUCUCUGAAAAGACAGCAGAUGUUUUAACCAAAAUAAUGCACAUGUACCUGCUCCUAGGUUCUCCUAGCAAGUCUAAACACUGACAGGGAUUCUCCCGAGGCCACUAGGAAAUCAAACACCCAGAGGUGGCUGCAUAUUCAGGUGGAAAAAUAUCAGCAAGGGCUCUUAAACUAACAGAAUUCUCCAUGUACGCUGUAAUGAUCGAUGUCUGUCUAACCACAGAAACAGAUCUUCAAACCACUUGAUCAAGUAAUGCCCAGGUCACAUAUAAAUGAUAACAAUUUCCCAACUUUCAUCCUCCCUUUAUCUUUUCUGAUCAAGCAGACUUGAAUGGAGGGAGCAAAUGGAUUGGAUGACACAGAAACUCAGCAGUGGAAUUAAGUGACUAUGCUUGUGUUCAGGGCUGACCAAAAUAAAUUCGCAAGGUGCAAAGUGUGUGAUUAGUGUCAUGUACACUUGUCUCUAAUGAUAAACCUCCCAACCUUCAGCUGCAUGCCUCACAAUGCACCCAGCAUGUGUGUAUAAGAACACUGUAACAAAAUAACUGUGCCAUACAGUGCUAAUUAUACAAUCCACUACUAAUGUAUGUAUGUGAAAGAAAACAAGAGGAUCAACAGCACCAUGAGUAAGUGACAGUUCGGUGAACUCUGAUCCCAAUGUUUGAUGGGUUGAGAGAACUAGACUCCUAUAGCCUUUACUUAUACAAGUAUCAGUUGAGCUUGUUGCCUGAAUGAGAUUGCAAUAUGAGGCCCUAAGAGAAUAUAAUACCAGGCAAGGGACACAAAACACUGGUGACCAGAUCCUCAUCUAGGAUAAAUUAGUAUAGCUCUGCUGACUUCAAAGGAGGUAUGCUGAUUUAUGACCUCCGAAAAUCUGGCCCUGUGCUAUUUUCAGCUAAAGUACUUUAGCUUACACAGGAGAGCAUGGCCACAAAGAACUAGCGAUUUUGUUAAGUAAUAAAACACAAGAGGCAGUGCGAGUGUUUGGCGCUAUUCCAUGCUUUGGGUGCACUGUGGGAUACAAAGCGGAAGGUCAACUGAGUUCAACUUGCCUGAGAACAGCAACAAAUUCCUAGAAUCUGGGUGGCUAGCAUGGUGAGAUUUCUGUUGUUGAACUGAUAUUGCCACGAAAAAAAAUAAUAAAGAAGGAAAGGUUUUUUUAGCUGCACAUUUACUAUAGAUUACUCACUUGGGAUUGGUGACUCAAAAUUCCACUAGGCAAUAGGGAUCCCGUCACAGUCACUUAACAAUCUCUAUCUGUUUCCCACCUGUAAUAUAGGCUUCACUGUGCUUUGAGAUCUAUAGAUCUAUAAAUCCUGCAUAUUAUUAACUAUGGUGUCCGUUCAAACUGCCCCGUAAUCUGAGACCACUCUCUCACAUCCUGUAAAUUCAGGAAUCCAGUGAAGCAUUUGCACUGAUAAACUCAAGAGGUGCAAAUGUCUGCUCAUGAUUAGUAAUUGCUGGCAAUGGCAGUAGUAACGUAGUCAGUUUUUCCUGUGGCAAGUUAUGUUGUUUUUCUAGGGUAUCAGCACAGUAAUCCAUCACCUCUCUGAGUCUGCCCACGCAUUCAUUUGUACUUUGUAGAGCGCUCCCAUGUAAGAGAAAAAUCCCAUUGAUUCUAAAGCGAGCAGGGUAAAGCCAAUUUUUGCCCUUUGGUGAUACAGUACCAUAGCAAGCAGGACAUUUUGGCUUGUGCUCAGGAUUUCAAGGCAGUUUUUAUAAUAUGCUGCUAUUGUUUGGGGCAUGCAGGCUCUAUAUUCCCACGGCCUAGAGGUACUUCCAAGAAUACAGACUGCUGGGUCACCAUGGUGGUACAAGAUAGUGUUGGUUUUAGGAGGAAUGUGCUUACAAGCAUGGGCAUUUACUGUGUAUAGAGAGAUUUCUGGGUUGUUUAAUGAUACAUCUUGUUAUUUCUGCCUAAUGGGCCUUAUGUGUGCCUAAUGGUUACAUUAAAAUGUGCAAGCACAGCUCCUUACCAA